rnacentral:rRNA from 3 species
UCGGAUCAGGUAGGGAUACCCGCUGAACUUAA